AGAAUUUGAUCUUGGUUCAGAUUGAACGCUGGCGGCGUGCUUAACACAUGCAAGUCGCGCGUGAAAGGACUUCGGUCCGAGUAAAGCGGCGCACGGGUGAGUAACGCGUGGAUGAUCUACCCAUGAGUUGGGAAUAACGGCUGGAAACGGUCGCUAAUACCGAAUACGCUCCGAUUUCAACUUCGGGGGAAAGGUGGCCUCUGCUUGCAAGCUACUGCUCAUGGAUGAGUCCGCGUCCCAUUAGCUAGUUGGUGGGGUAACGGCCCACCAAGGCGACGAUGGGUAGCCGGUCUGAGAGGAUGACCGGCCACACUGGGACUGGAACACGGCCCAGACUCCUACGGGAGGCAGCAGUGGGGAAUAUUGCGCAAUGGGCGAAAGCCUGACGCAGCGACGCCGCGUGAGGGAAUGAAGGUCCUCGGAUCGUAAACCUCUGUCAGGAGGGAAGAACCGCCACGGUGCUAAUCAGCCGUGGUCUGACGGUACCUCCAAAGGAAGCACCGGCUAACUCCGUGCCAGCAGCUGC
rnacentral:rRNA from 1 species